rnacentral:rRNA from 1 species
ACGGAGAGUUUGAUCCUGGCUCAGGAUGAACGCUAGCGACAGGCUUAACACAUGCAAGUCGAGGGGCAGCGAGGGGUUAGCAAUAACUCUGUCGGCGACCGGCGCACGGGUGAGUAACGCGUAUGCAACCUACCUGCAUCAGGGGGAUAACCAGGAGAAAUCCUGACUAAUACCGCAUAUAUCGGUUGACCGCAUGGUUGAUUGAGGAAAGAGUUAUCGGAUGCAGAUGGGCAUGCGUGGCAUUAGGAAGUUGGCGGGGUAACGGCCCACCAAUCCGACGAUGCCUAGGGGUUCUGAGAGGAAGGUCCCCCACAUUGGUACUGAGACACGGAUCAAACUCCUACGGGAGGCAGCAGUGAGGAAUAUUGGUCAAUGGACGGAAGUCUGAACCAGCCAAGUCGCGUGAAGGACGACGGCCCUACGGGUUGUAAACUUCUUUAGUGCGGGAACAAAGGAGGGGACGUGUCCCCUUAUGAGUGUACCGCAAGAAUAAGCAUCGGCUAACUCCGUGCCAGCAGCCGCGGUAAUACGGAGGAUGCGAGCGUUAUCCGGAUUUAUUGGGUUUAAAGGGUGCGCAGGCGGACAGUCAAGUCAGCGGUAAAAUCGCGGGGCUCAACCCCGCUCAGCCGUUGAAACUGAUUAUCUAGCGUGGCGUCGAGGUAUGCGGAAUGCGUUGUGUAGCGGUGAAAUGCAUAGAUAUGACGCAGAACUCCAAUUGCGAAGGCAGCAUACCGGGCGCCUACGGACGCUGAGGCACGAAAGCGUGGGUAUCGAACAGGAUUAGAUACCCUGGUAGUCCACGCAGUAAACGAUGAAUACUUGCUAUUCGGCGGGAAUGACCGCUGGGUGGCGGAGCGAAAGCGUUAAGUAUUCCACCUGGGGAGUACGCCGGCAACGGUGAAACUCAAAGGAAUUGACGGGGGCCCGCACAAGCGGAGGAACAUGUGGUUUAAUUCGAUGAUACGCGAGGAACCUUACCCGGGCUUGAAUUGCAGAGGAAGGAUUUGGAGACAAUGACGCCCUUCGGGGCCUCUGUGAAGGUGCUGCAUGGUUGUCGUCAGCUCGUGCCGUGAGGUGUCGGCUUAAGUGCCAUAACGAGCGCAACCCCUCUCCUUAGUUGCCAUCAGGUUAAGCUGGGCACUCUGGGGACACUGCCACCGUAAGGUGUGAGGAAGGUGGGGAUGACGUCAAAUCAGCACGGCCCUUACGUCCGGGGCUACACACGUGUUACAAUGGCAGGUACAGAGAGACGGUCCCUUGCAAAACGGAUCAAAUCCUUAAAGCCUGUCUCAGUUCGGACUGGGGUCUGCAACCCGACCCCACGAAGCUGGAUUCGCUAGUAAUCGCGCAUCAGCCAUGGCGCGGUGAAUACGUUCCCGGGCCUUGUACACACCGCCCGUCAAGCCAUGGGAGCCGGGGGUACCUGAAGUCCGUAACCGCGAGGAGCGCCCUAGGGUAAAACUGGUGACUGGGGCUAAGUCGUAACAAGGUAGCCGUACCGGAAGGUGCGGCUGGAACACCUCCUU